rnacentral:lncRNA from 1 species
CAAAAAUAUUGAUAUUUUAUAUUGAUUACAAUAUAAAAUAUCAAUUAUUUUUAAUUAUUUUUAAAUCAAUUAUUUUUAAAUGUUCUUCAUCUAUAUAUCAGUCAAUAAAAGAUUACAGAAGUGCUAUGAUAUUUCAGGAGCUGCCAAAGUGAAGGAGCAGGAUGGAGCAUGAACGGGAGGAAAUGGAUGACUAGGAACUGCUUUCCUUAAGAAACAGAGACCAAGGAAGAAGAAAGGUUGUUUCUGGCAGAGAACAGCGAAUGGCAAGAAAGAGCAUGAGACUGGCACUGCAGAGCAGCACAGAAAGGCCCUCUGCUCUGCCAUUGCUGGCUUCUGGAUGCCACUGAAGAAUUUUAAUAGUCCCAAUUUCAGGCACAAUUUGUUUUUUUGUUGAAGUGUCAGACCUAUUUUAAUGGGGGCUAAAACCAUGCAGCCAGUCAGGUGCAAAACAGCUUAUGGGAAAUAUCAGGGAAUGUAGAAGAAUGGAGAUUGCAAUGACAGA